UGGUACGAAAACUAAAAAUAGCUCGAGA
rnacentral:sRNA from 1 species